rnacentral:rRNA from 1 species
UACGUAGGGGGCAAGCGUUGUCCGGAUUUAUUGGGCGUAAAGAGCGUGUAGGCGGCCAGACAGGUCCGUUGUGAAAACUCGAGGCUCAACCUCGAGACGCCGAUGGAAACCGUCUGGCUAGAGUCCGGAAGAGGAGAGUGGAAUUCCUGGUGUAGCGGUGAAAUGCGCAGAUAUCAGGAAGAACACCCGUGGCUAAGGCGGCUCUCUGGGCCUUACCUGACGCUGAGGCGCGAAAGCUAGGGGAGCGAACAGG